rnacentral:rRNA from 2 species
CUGGCGGCAGGCCUAACACAUGCAAGUCGAGCGGAUGAGUGGAGCUUGCUCCAUGAUUCAGCGGCGGACGGGUGAGUAAUGCCUAGGAAUCUGCCUGGUAGUGGGGGACAACGUUUCGAAAGGAACGCUAAUACCGCAUACGUCCUACGGGAGAAAGUGGGGGAUCUUCGGACCUCACGCUAUCAGAUGAGCCUAGGUCGGAUUAGCUAGUUGGUGAGGUAAAGGCUCACCAAGGCGACGAUCCGUAACUGGUCUGAGAGGAUGAUCAGUCACACUGGAACUGAGACACGGUCCAGACUCCUACGGGAGGCAGCAGUGGGGAAUAUUGGACAAUGGGCGAAAGCCUGAUCCAGCCAUGCCGCGUGUGUGAAGAAGGUCUUCGGAUUGUAAAGCACUUUAAGUUGGGAGGAAGGGCAGUAAGUUAAUACCUUGCUGUUUUGACGUUACCAACAGAAUAAGCACCGGCUAACUUCGUGCCAGCAGCCGCGGUAAUACGAAGGGUGCAAGCGUUAAUCGGAAUUACUGGGCGUAAAGCGCGCGUAGGUGGUUCGUUAAGUUGGAUGUGAAAGCCCCGGGCUCAACCUGGGAACUGCAUCCAAAACUGGCGAGCUAGAGUAUGGCAGAGGGUGGUGGAAUUUCCUGUGUAGCGGUGAAAUGCGUAGAUAUAGGAAGGAACACCAGUGGCGAAGGCGACCACCUGGGCUAAUACUGACACUGAGGUGCGAAAGCGUGGGGAGCAAACAGGAUUAGAUACCCU